CAGCCGCCACGGUAAUACGAAGGGGGCUAGCGUUGCUCGGAAUGACUGGGCGUAAAGGGCGCGUAGGCGGACAGUUCAGUCGGGGGUGAAAGCCCGGGGCUCAACCUCGGAAUUGCCUUCGAUACUGGCUGUCUUGAGUAUGAGAGAGGUGUGUGGAACUCCGAGUGUAGAGGUGAAAUUCGUAGAUAUUCGGAAGAACACCAGUGGCGAAGGCGACACACUGGCUCAUUACUGACGCUGAGGCGCGAAAGCGUGGGGAGCAAACAGGAUUAGAUACCCCUGUAGUCCCUGUCUCUUAUAC
rnacentral:rRNA from 1 species